AGCGAACGCUGGCGGCAGGCCUAACACAUGCAAGUCGAACGAACUCUUCGGAGUUAGUGGCGGACGGGUGAGUAACACGUGGGAACGUGCCUUUAGGUUCGGAAUAACUCAGGGAAACUUGAGCUAAUACCGGAUGUGCCCUUCGGGGGAAAGAUUUAUCGCCUUUAGAGCGGCCCGCGUCUGAUUAGCUAGUUGGUGAGGUAAAGGCUCACCAAGGCGACAAUCAGUAGCUGGUCUGAGAGGAUGAUCAGCCACAUUGGGACUGAGACACGGCCCAAACUCCUACGGGAGGCAGCAGUGGGGAAUCUUGCGCAAUGGGCGAAAGCCUGACGCAGCCAUGCCGCGUGAAUGAUGAAGGUCUUAGGAUUGUAAAAUUCUUUCACCGGGGACGAUAAUGACGGUACCCGGAGAAGAAGCCCCGGCUAACUUCGUG
rnacentral:rRNA from 1 species